rnacentral:rRNA from 1 species
ACUGCUCAGUAACACGUAGCUAACCUGCCCUUAGGUUAGGGAUACCCUCGGGAAACUGAGGUUAAUACCUAAUAGGAGAUUUACCCUGGAACGAUUUAUCUCUUAAAUUUGUGCCUAAGGAUGGGGCUGCGGCGGAUUAGGUUGUUGGCGGGGUAACUGCCCGCCAAGCCGAAGAUCCGUAAGGGCUCUUAGCGGAGGGGCCCUGAGAGGGAAUCUGAGACACUAUUCCCAGCCCUACGGGGUGCAGCAGUUAGGAAUCUUCUGCAAUGCGCGAAAGCGUGACAGAUUGAGCCAGAGUGCUUUUCUUUUUGAAAAGCUUUUGCCAAAUCUAAAAAGUUUGGCGAAUAAGGACUGGGUAAGACGGGUGCCAGCCGCCGCGGUAAUACCCGCGGUCCAAGUCGCAGCCAUUAUUAUUGAGUCUAAAACAUCCGUAGCUUGCUUAGUAAGUUUCCUGUGAAAUUCUAUCUCUCAAGGAUAGAGCGGGCAGGGAGUACUGCUGGGCUAGAGAUCGGAAGACGUGAAAAGUACGUCCAAAGUAGCGGUAAAAUGUGUUAAUCUUGGGCGGACUAACAACAGCGAAGGCAUUUCACGAGGACGGUUCUGACAGUAAGGGAUGAAGGCUAGGGGCGCAAAACGGAUUAGAUACCCGUGUAGUCCUAGCAGUAAACACUGCACACUAAACAUUAGUACCUCCUCG